rnacentral:rRNA from 1 species
CCCCUAGUAACUGCGAGUGAAGCGGGAAAAGCUCAAAUUUAAAAUCUGGCAGUCUUUGGCUGUCCGAGUUGUAAUCUAGAGAAGUGUUAUCCGCGCUGGACCGUGUACAAGUCUCCUGGAAUGGAGCGUCAUAGAGGGUGAGAAUCCCGUCUUUGACACGGACUACCAGGGCUUUGUGAUGCGCUCUCGAAGAGUCGAGUUGUUUGGGAAUGCAGCUCAAAAUGGGUGGUAAAUUCCAUCUAAAGCUAAAUAUUGGCGAGAGACCGAUAGCGAACAAGUACCGUGAGGGAAAGAUGAAAAGAACUUUGGAAAGAGAGUUAAACAGUACGUGAAAUUGCUGAAAGGGAAACGCUUGAAGUCAGUCGCGUUGUUCAGAGAUCAACCUUGCUUUUGCUUGGUGUACUUUCUGGUUGACGGGUCAGCAUCAAUUUUGACUAUUGGAAAAAGAUUAGGGGAAUGUGGCAUCUUUGGAUGUGUUAUAGCCCUUGGUUGYAUACAAUGGUUGGGAUUGAGGAACUCAGCACGCCGAAAGGCCGGGUUUUUAACCACGUACGUGCUUAGGAUGCUGGCAUAAUGGCUUUAAUCGACCCGUCUUGAAACACGGACCAAGGAGUCUAACAUGCCUGCGAGUGUUUGGGUGGAAAACCCGAGCGCGUAAUGAAAGUGAAAGUUGAGAUCCCUGUCGUGGGGAGCAUCAACGCCCGGACCAGACCUUUUGUGACGGUUCCGCGGUAGAGCAUGUAUGUUGGGACCCGAAAGAUGGUGAACUAUGCCUGAAUAGGGUGAAGCCAGAGGAAACUCUGGUGGAGGCUCGUAGCGAUUCUGACGUGCA